UACGGAGGGGGCUAGCGUUGUUCGGAAUUACUGGGCGUAAAGCGCACGUAGGCGGGUUGGCAAGUUGGGGGUGAAAUCCCAGGGCUCAACCCUGGAACUGCCUUCAAAACUCCCAGUCUGGAGGUCGAGAGAGGUGAGUGGAAUUCCGAGUGUAGAGGUGAAAUUCGUAGAUAUUCGGAAGAACACCAGUGGCGAAGGCGACUCGCUGGACAAGUAUUGACGCUGAGGUGCGAAAGCGUGGGGAGCGAACAGG
rnacentral:rRNA from 1 species